rnacentral:misc_RNA from 1 species
AUAUAUAUAUCAACCUUCUCUUGUUGGAGUGGUUUGGAUGUGGGGGUUUGCUGGCCUCUUAAAAGGUUCAGCUCCCUUGAAAUGCAUUAGCAGAACGGACCUGUUCAUUGGUGUGAUAACUAUCUACGCUAUUGAAUGUGAGGGGAUGUUCAGCUUUCUAACUGUCCUUGGACAAUUUAUCAUUUU